UCCUCAAUUCGGUAGAGCGAUCGGCUGUUAAUUGAUUGGUCGUAGGUUCGAAUCCUACUUGGGGAG
rnacentral:tRNA from 1 species